rnacentral:rRNA from 1 species
CGGAAAAUCAAGGCUGAGGCGUGAUGACGAGGCACUACGGUGCUGAAGCAACAAAUGCCCUGCUUCCAGGAAAAGCCUCUAAGCAUCAGGUAACAUCAAAUCGUACCCCAAACCGACACAGGUGGUCAGGUAGAGAAUACCAAGGCGCUUGAGAGAACUCGGGUGAAGGAACUAGGCAAAAUGGUGCCGUAACUUCGGGAGAAGGCACGCUGAUAUGUAGGUGAAGUCCCUCGCGGAUGGAGCUGAAAUCAGUCGAAGAUACCAGCUGGCUGCAACUGUUUAUUAAAAACACAGCACUGUGCAAACACGAAAGUGGACGUAUACGGUGUGACGCCUGCCCGGUGCCGGAAGGUUAAUUGAUGGGGUCAGCGCAAGCGAAGCUCUUGAUCGAAGCCCCGGUAAACGGCGGCCGUAACUAUAACGGUCCUAAGGUAGCGAAAUUCCUUGUCGGGUAAGUUCCGACCUGCACGAAUGGCGUAAUGAUGGCCAGGCUGUCUCCACCCGAGACUCAGUGAAAUUGAACUCGCUGUGAAGAUGCAGUGUACCCGCGGCAAGACGGAAAGACCCCGUGAACCUUUACUAUAGCUUGACACUGAACAUUGAGCCUUGAUGUGUAGGAUAGGUGGGAGGCUUUGAAGUGUGGACGCCAGUCUGCAUGGAGCCGACCUUGAAAUACCACCCUUUAAUGUUUGAUGUUCUAACGUGGACCCGUGAUCCGGGUUGCGGACAGUGUCUGGUGGGUAGUUUGACUGGGGCGGUCUCCUCCUAAAGAGUAACGGAGGAGCACGAAGGUUGGCUAAUCCUGGUCGGACAUCAGGAGGUUAGUGCAAUGGCAUAAGCCAGCUUGACUGCGAGCGUGACGGCGCGAGCAGGUGCGAAAGCAGGUCAUAGUGAUCCGGUGGUUCUGAAUGGAAGGGCCAUCGCUCAACGGAUAAAAGGUACUCCGGGGAUAACAGGCUGAUACCGCCCAAGAGUUCAUAUCGACGGCGGUGUUUGGCACCUCGAUGUCGGCUCAUCACAUCCUGGGGCUGAAGUAGGUCCCAAGGGUAUGGCUGUUCGCCAUUUAAAGUGGUACGCGAGCUGGGUUUAGAACGUCGUGAGACAGUUCGGUCCCUAUCUGCCGUGGGCGCUGGAGAACUGAGGGGGGCUGCUCCUAGUACGAGAGGACCGGAGUGGACGCAUCACUGGUGUUCGGGUUGUCAUGCCAAUGGCACUGCCCGGUAGCUAAAUGCGGAAGAGAUAAGUGCUGAAAGCAUCUAAGCACGAAACUUGCCCCGAGAUGAGUUCUCCCUGACCCUUUAAGGGUCCUGAAGGAACGUUGAAGACGACGACGUUGAUAGGCCGGGUGUGUAAGCGCAGCGAUGCGUUGAGCUAACCGGUACUAAUGAACCGUGAGGCUUAACCUUACAACGCCGAAGGUGUUU